UAGUUGCACGGAACUCAGAAUGCAGGGACUUCUAGGUAUAUUACGACUUAAAACAGGAGGUUCUAGAACACAUAAGCACAGGUGACCCAUGGGAGUAGACAUCUGUGGCUGUUCUGGAAACCAACCACAUAAAUCUGACACAUAAAGACCUCCAUCCUCAGCCACCCCAACUCUGUUUGAAUGGCACCUGGUGGCUUGUCUGAUGAGCUGCAGCCACACUGCCACCAGCUUGCCCAGCCUCAGGCUUGUCCUCCAGGGCUUGGAUAGGUGAGGACACAGGUAGAAGGUGUCAACUAUGAGGAAUGGGCCUUCACCAGACACCAAAUCUGCUAUUUCCUUGAUCUCGGACUUCCUAGCCUCCAGAACUGAACUGGAAUUUGACAUAAGACUCCACACCAACAUAUUUUCAGUCUUCUGGGAAGAUGGCAUCUGACCAGGCAAGAACUACCCGGACCGAUGGUUUCUGCUGGAGGGAGAACUAGAGGUGGUUUGGGGCACACAGAGGGGAAGCCCUCAUCUGGUCUUCAGGGCAGGGUGGUGGAGACAAACAGGCAGAGGCAGCCAUGUUCACA